ACGGGGUGCAGCAGGCGCGAAGCCUUCGCAAUGCGCGCAAGCGCGACGAGGUUAUUCUGAGUGAUUCCCGCUGAGGGAAUCUUUUCUUAGAUCUAAAAAGUCUGGGGAAUAAGGGGAGGGCAAGUCUGGUGUCAGCCGCCGCGGUAAUACCAGCUCCUCGAGUGGUCAGGGCGUUUAUUGGGCCUAAAGCAUCCGUAGCCUGCUCAGUAGGUCUCCUGUUAAAUCCAACGGCUCAACCGUUGGUCUGCAGGAGAUACCGCUGGGCUAGGAGGCGGGAGAGGCGGACGGUACUCCGAGGGUAGGGGUAAAAUCCUUUGAUCCGUAGAAGACUACCAGUGGCGAAGGCGGUCCACCAGAACGCGCUCGACGGUGAGGGAUGAAAGCUGGGGGAGCGAACCGGAUUAGAUACCCGGGUAGUCCCAGCCGUAAACGACGCGAGCUAGAUGAUCCAAUCGCAAAUCGCGAUUGGAGUGUCGCAGGGAAGCCGUUAAGCUCGCCGCCUGGGGAGUACGGUCGCAAGACUGAAACUUAAAGGAAUUGGCGGGGGAGCA
rnacentral:rRNA from 1 species